GAUGAACGCUGGCGGCGUGCCUAAUACAUGCAAGUCGAGCGAACGGACGAGAAGCUUGCUUCUCUGAUGUUAGCGGCGGACGGGUGAGUAACACGUGGAUAACCUACCUAUAAGGCUGGGAUAACUUCGGGAAACCGGAGCUAAUACCGGAUGAUAUUUUGAACCGCAUGGUUCAAAAGUGAAAGACGGUCUUGCUGUCACUUAUAGAUGGAUCCGCGCUGCAUUAGCUAGUUGGUAAGGUAACGGCUUACCAAGGCAACGAUGCAUAGCCGACCUGAGAGGGUGAUCGGCCACACUGGAACUGAGGCACGGUCCAGACUCCUACGGGAGGCAGCAGUAGGGAAUCUUCCGCAAUGGGCGAAAGCCUGACGGAGCAACGCCGCGUGAGUGAUGAAGGUCUUCGGAUCGUAAAACUCUGUUAUUAGGGAAGAACAUAUGUGUAAGUAACUGUGCACAUCUUGACGGUACCUAAUCAGAAAGCCACGGCUAACUACGUG
rnacentral:rRNA from 1 species